rnacentral:rRNA from 1 species
AUUGAACGCUGGCGGCAUGCCUUACACAUGCAAGUCGAACGGCAGCACGGGAGCAAUCCUGGUGGCGAGUGGCGAACGGGUGAGUAAUGUAUCGGAACGUGCCCAGUCGUGGGGGAUAACGCAGCGAAAGCUGUGCUAAUACCGCAUACGAUCUAUGGAUGAAAGCGGGGGAUCGCAAGACCUCGCGCGAUUGGAGCGGCCGAUAUCAGAUUAGGUAGUUGGUGGGGGAAAGGCCCACCAAGCCGACGAUCUGUAGCUGGUCUGAGAGGACGUCCAGCCACACUGGAACUGAGACACGGUCCAGACUCCUACGGGAGGCAGCAGUGGGGAAUUUUGGACAAUGGGCGCAAGCCUGAUCCAGCAAUGCCGCGUGCAGGAUGAAGGCCUUCGGGUUGUAAACUGCUUUUGUACGGAACGAAACGGUUCUCUCUAAUACAGGGGGCUAAUGACGGUACCGUAAGAAUAAGCACCGGCUAACUACGUGCCAGCCGCCGCAGUAA